ACGGGUGAGUAACGCGUGGUCAACCUUCCGUUGAAUGGGGGAUAACUAGCCGAAAGGUUAGCUAAUACCGCAUACGAUCUUUUGAAGGCAUCUUUAAAAGAUGAAAGGAGCAAUUCGUUCAACGACGGGACCGCGUCCCAUUAGCUAGAUGGUGGGGUAAUGGCCUACCAUGGCGACGAUGGGUAGCUGGUUUGAGAGAGCGACCAGCCACACUGGGACUGAGAAACGGCCCAG
rnacentral:rRNA from 1 species